rnacentral:lncRNA from 1 species
UUUUGAGAGAGGACUUUGGACUAGAAGAUAUGUCUGAGAAUAAGGACAAUAAAGUAGACACAAAUGGUACCUCUGAUUGGCCAUCCUGCUUGUUAACAUCUUUCACCACACGGCAAUGAACAUGGAGAAAGGAAGAAGGAGCAGAUGGUUUGGUCUGUGGAGAAAGGAGUUACCUAUCCUUCCCCUUCAUUGCUUUCUGAUCUCUCUUGUCUGCCACACCUGGCACAUGUGAAGAGAAAGAAGCCUUAGCAAGCUACCAAGAAGGUAGAGGAAGACUUCCUUUAUCCUCAGACAGCCUGUGGGCCCCGUGGCCUAUAGUAACUCUGGAGUAGAGGGUAGGUGCUCACUGAGGCUGGAGUGAGAGAGGGUACAGACUGUUAUUGGCUAGCAGUCUGUAGGAGGGUAGGCCCUGAGCCGUCACUAUGCAAGUGGCCUCUGGAGUGGGACUUUAAGGUCCUGAGUCAUUAGAAGUCUCGUCUUCAGGGAGGUACUGGCUUGAUGCUCCUCACACCUGACCUAAGGAGUCUUCCAUUCAACAGCUCCAGGUGACUGGCCUUCAUAGCCCCACCAUCCAGGAAGGAGCCCAUUGAAAAGAAGCAAAAUGAAAUGGCAAGGACACUGAAUGGCUGAGUGGCAAUGCCAAGGUUUCGGCUGAAGUCUGUCUGGUUAUAAACCCUUUGAAAUCCAGCUCUGCAAAGCAGGGCACUGUGGGAACUAUUAGGACCUUUUAUAACAAGGUGGGUAACAGGGCG